ACACCGCGUGUGGGAUGACGGAUCUAGGUUUGUAAACCACUUUCAGGAGGGAAGAAAAUGACGGUACCUCCACAAGAAGCCCCGGCCAACUACGUGCCAGCAGCCGCGGUAAUACGUAGGGGGCGAGCGUUGUCCGGAUUUAUUGGGCGUAAAGAGCUCGUAGGCGGUUCAACAAGUCGGUCGUGAAAGUUCAGGGCUCAACCCUGAAAUGUCGAUCGAUACUGUUGUGACUAGGAUACGGUAGAGGUGAGUGGAAUUCCGAGUGUAGCGCUGAAAUGCGUAGAUAUUCGGAGGAACACCAAUUGCGAAGGCAGCUCACUGGGCCGCUAUCGACGCUGAGGAGCGAAAGCUAGGGGAGCAAACAGGAUUAGAUACCCUGGUAGUCCUAGCUGUAAACGAUGGAUACC
rnacentral:rRNA from 1 species